GCCCGGGUCAUGAAGGAUGCAAAGAGGUGCAUGUGCAGUAUGUUCCUCGGACAUCGCAACUUCCUACGUCCAAAUGAAAAGACGCUAUAGUUCUUUAGAAGGGGACCAAGUCGGUUGGGGUAUUUCAUAAAAAACUGUAUACUUCACACGAGCCCUGGGUAUUAUGGAAGGUCUGGUACAAACACUCUCACAAUAGACUGUGCUAGGAUAAUAAACAGCAAUGUGGAAAACCGCCUAGUGAAUGGAUUGAGGGGUUGGAUACGUUGGAACAACUUUGUUUAUGCUUCCCAGCCGUCCCGACACGUGGAGUUCAGUCGUCAUCCACCACCGGGAACAAAGACCGCAAUCAGAAUUCUGGACAAGGUCACAAGUCAUAGGAUGAACCAUGCAAGUUUAAUGGGAGCUUAUAACCCUUGACAUUGUGGUCCAUAUAAAAUUCUGUAUUGGCCCAGAUAACAACCGCACCCUCCAGGCACGGGGUUGAUUACCUUGUAACGAACGCCCACUCUCGCCAAGUUGAAUAUUGGGACCAACACAGAGUUCUACUUUGGAAAAGAACCAGUAUCGACUACAUCUGCUACAUCCUCAUAUCCUCCAGGAACUUGCCAUUUGGUCUCGACUCAUCCAGUCUUCGCGUUUACCUUCCUGGCGCCGAGUAUCAGCAAAUUUGCUCAGGAAUGCAGAGAAAAUGUAAUCAGAGUCUGAGUGGAUGUACAUGCGUGGACUCAUAAUGAAUUUCACUGUUAGACACAACUGGUUACAAUAUCUAGUACGUGUUAGGUACUAGAUACAGUCACAGCAGUGUAUGUAUAUAUGGCUGGAAUUGUCUGUCGACCUGAACCGAUAGUCAGAGUGUGAAUAAUAUCAUUGGAAAUUCGAUUGAACUUUGUACCGGAAAUCAAGAGGAGUCAAACAGAAUGCAAUCAGCUUUGCUGGUGUCUUUGUAAAUAUUUAGCUGGGUAUUAUUUAAAACUGAGAAAUUUUCGAUUCGUCACUUGCUUUAUACUUACAGUUUUCAACGAAGAUUCAAAUAGAAACGAAGAGUUCGGAUCGCGAAUGCCCUGCGGUAUUUGGCUUGUUAGGUAAAUUGUAUUGUAAAUUGUAUCUCACUGGAUUUUCUCCGUUUUUACAAAAGGCGUAUUGGCUUAACAGGCUGCCAGAGACAUUCUUUGAAUUUCAUGGCAGCGUGUACCUUCGCUUUGAUUUAUCUAACUCGUUCGCAUUGGGUGUUGUUUCGUGCUAUAAUUUUGCCUUCGUUUCUCGGGGUAGUUACAUAUACACGGUGGAUGAAAAAAAAUACACUGGCGGUAAUUACUAGCUUUACAACUUUGAGUUCUUCUCUGCGUAUUUAUACUUGUAUAUAUACUUUAUACUUGUAUAUAUUUUAAAGAGCAGGUUGAUUCUCUGUUUACUUUUUAGUAUUUUCUUUAAAAAGUUCCUCGUUCUCCUUAACGUCUUUCUGACACUCGAUUCUAACGGGUGGCUUACGAAACACGAUCCUCCCAAGAAAAUCGUUUAACGACCUAAUUGAAAAUGUUCUAACAAUUUGUCUUGGCAGAGGAAAAGGUUUGUAUUCAAUGAAGAUAAAUCGUCAAUCGUCAUUAUCAACAUCUCACAGAUAUACAUACGGGGUGUCCAAAAAGUCCCGUAUCAUAUAUAUACUACUAGAAUCGUGAUAAAAUUUAGAAAAAAAACAGUGCUUGGAAAAUUGACAAAUUUUAAUCUGUUUUGAAAAAAAUUGCAAUCAAAAAUUGAAAAUUCUCACCGAUCAAGAACUUUAGCUGAUCGAUAAAAAGAGCAUCGGAUUGGCAAAGCCAUUUCCCCAAAUUCACCACCGGGAAUUAGUCUGUCCCUUUGGUUCCCACGGUGGAUCCACCUUAAGAACCAGAGAUAAUGCAGAACCACCAGGUGAAAAUUAUUUUUUGAAUAACCCCAUACUGGAUUAUAACACCGCCUGAAGUUUAUUUUACCAUAAAAAUCAAAUAAGCAGAUCAAUUCAGGCGGUGCGUUUCUAAUUGACAGAUAACCCUUUUCUCACAAGAAGCUCAGUAGCUGCUUCCUAUUAAGCACAGAGAAGAAGCAAUCGAUAGCUUCUAAUCUGAUAAUCAAUGAUCUUAAUUAUUUCGCAAAGUAAAUUAGAGCAGGUUAACGGAAUACCAUAAUUUAGACAGACCACCAAAUAAUUAGAUCCGAUUAGUUAGAAUUAUAGGAAAUUAAUAGCCAGUUCAAGCCUUACAAUUAAUGAUACCAUACCCUACGCGUUAAUAGUCCAAAGCCUUCCAAACCUUCCAAAAUCUCUCGUUUUUUUUUUCAGACACCCUGUAUGU